ensembl:snRNA U6 U6 spliceosomal RNA
GUGGUUGCUUCGGCAGCACAUUUACUAAAAUUGGAAUGAGGUAGAGAUUAGCAUGGCCCCUGCGCAAGAAUGACACACAAAUUCAUGAAGCAUUCCAUAUUUUU